ACAUGCCUACAUCAUAGCGUUAAUGCACCGAAUCCCAUUAGAACUCCACAGUUAAGCACACUUAGGAUAGAGUAGUAUUGGGAUGGGUGACCACCCGAGAAGUCCUAACGUUUUACAUGCC
rnacentral:rRNA from 1 species